UGUCCAGGGAUGGGAAUCGAACCCACACGGUUCCGCUUACAAGGCAGAUGCCAUGUCCAUUAGGCUAUCCAGGAC
rnacentral:tRNA from 1 species